rnacentral:snoRNA from 3 species
UUGAUGCAAAUGAUGAGACACAAGUUUUAUGGGUAAUUUGUUUCUGUGAUGUCACACCCUUUUCACCUUGGAGAUCUGAUGCAUCCU